rnacentral:misc_RNA from 1 species
CCUUCGGACCAAAAUUGUUGUAUGGCUUGUGUGGGGCGACGGGCACAACGUGAAUCCGUAAUAGGCCAUGGCGGGUGUCUUUUUAAGCAUCCAAGCCAUACAACAAUUUGGGGUUGGGAGGUGAUGGAUAUAAAUCGGUGUACGUUUAUUGUCGGAUGAUAUGGUUGCGUGAUUUACACUAAACAUACAUCGAUUUAUAUCCAUCAUGGCGCUUAUCGAUGUAUGGCUUGUGUGGGGCGAGAAACACAACGUGGAGCUGUAAAAGGAUCUGCAAGGGUUUCCCAAACCACACAAGCCAUACAUCGGUUGUAAGUCGCAAAACAACCACAGUUGUUGUAUUGCUUGGAUGUGUGCGAGAGGCACAACGUGAAUCCGUAAUAGGCCAUGGCGGGUGUCUUUUUAAGCGUCCAAGGCAUACAAAAAUUGGGGGGUUGGGAUUAUUCUAGCGGGUUUCGUUCUCUUCGUAUCGUGC